rnacentral:rRNA from 1 species
AUGCCCCUUAAAUUUUGGGAUGAAGCGUUUCUCACCGCCGUUCACAUUAUCAAUAUGCUUCCUAGUCGUGUCAUACACAACGAAACUCCCAUGGAACGCCUUCUUCACACCAAACCAGACUACAAGUCUCUCCGUGUUUUUGGGUGUGCGUGUUGGCCCAAUCUUCGUCCCUACAACAAUCGCAAAUUGAUGUUUCGAUCAAAACAGUGUGUCUUCCUAGGGUACAACACUCAACAAAAGGGUGUAAAAUGUCUUGAUGUCUCUUCUGGCCGUGUAUACAUUUCCCGUGAUGUUGUGUUUGAUGAGACUAAGUUUCCCUUUGCUCACCUUCAUCCCAAUGCGGGUGCACUUCUCCGAAAAGAAAUUCUACUCACUACAAAAAACAUGUUAAUCCAUGACAGUAUUCUGGUGACGUUCUCAAAAACUGUCACAAAUUAUGACGGUUUUACCAGGUUUGUCACAAAAUCCGUCAUAUAUUAG